rnacentral:lncRNA from 1 species
UGUGAUCUUGGUACGUUCCACUAAACGCCCGCAACGAUUGUAACACCCUCUGUAUCGUUCCACCUAAGGCCCGUGGUCGUCGCGAGCGAUCGUUCGACGUCAUAGAUGACAUCACUGUUCGCGACCACAUCGCGCCCACAUCGCCCACAAAAUAUUGGUGGGCCAGAGUGGGCUCUCACCAAAACGUGGCGGGAAUUCGAAAAAAACAACAAUGGCGACGAGACAAAUAACUUUGUACAAUCCUGAAACUGACAUUGCAGUGGAAGUGAAAGUGUCAGUGGAGGAUGCGAGGCAUGCCGAAAAUGUGCAUUACAAGAAAAGGCCGCAACGAUUGUGGAAUUGCAGCAGGGAGAUGCUGAAAAUACUGAUAGUGCAAAUAUAGAGGGUCACUCGCAAUCGCAAGAGAGCAAGUGAGUGGAUUAUAUCGUUGGACUACGGAGAUAGUGGUCUUCCUCCUCGAUACAUACGCAGAGAGAGAGGAGAAAUUUUCCAGCAGGAAGUUUUCCAAAAAAAAAAUUUGGGAAGACAUUGCGGAAACUAUGAGAAGCAAAAUUCCACUAAUAACUGGACCUCGAUGUACAGCCAAGAUGAGGAGUUUAAAAAAAACGUACAAGAGUGUCAAAGACCAUAAUAACAAAAGUGGCAGUGACAGACGAACAUGGUUGUUAUAUGAAGGAAAAACAAAAUCUCCUGGGCUUCGCCGGUUGCAGUACCUUCUUCGACAGGAGUCUCCUCGCAAAGAAGUCAGGAAUCAGAGGGCGAAGUGUCAUCCGAUUUAUCCUCGAGCCGGAAGACAAGA